UACGUAGGGGGCGAGCGUUGUCCGGAUUUAUUGGGCGUAAAGAGCGUGUAGGCGGCUUGGUAGGUCUCGCGUCAAAACCUGAGGCUCAACCUCAGUUCGCGUGGGAAACCACCUAGCUAGAGUCCGGAAGAGGAGAACGGAAUUCCCAGUGUAGCGGUGAAAUGCGUAGAGAUCGGGAGGAACAUCUGUGGCGAAGGCGGCCAUCUGGACCAGCACUGACACUGAGGCACGAAAGCGUGGGGAGCAAACAGG
rnacentral:rRNA from 1 species